rnacentral:lncRNA from 1 species
UGCGACUUCCGGAAUGCGGCUUCCGGCUGCUCGCUGUGUGGGGUUUGGAGGUCGUGCCCGGGCGCUUCCGGGUGGGUGAGGCCUUAAAGGCCGUGCGGGGCCAACGCGGGCACCGCACCGUGAGCUGGAGGACCGCGGUGUGCUCCGGGGAGCCCUGAGGUACGCCCGUAGAUCCUAAUUCUGCUCUGGCGUGCCCUGAAGUCCUUCUGCUCUGCUAUGGAGGCCUUCGAGGCCUAUCCCAGCACGUUGGCACAGCACACAGUGCCCUCAGGAGCCCUCCGUGCGCUCCAGGCCGUCUUAGUGCAGGUCAGCUGAACGCGGUAACCACCCAGCAUGCCCUGUGGGGUACCAGAGCCCGCACAGAGGUGCCUGAUGCGCUCUUGAGGGCUCCUGAGGCCUCACUGUGUGCCCCAGAGGCAGCCCAGGGCACCCUGUUUGAACCUGAAGUCCUCCUGGAGCUCCUCGCUGUGCCCCAUAGGCCUCCAGGAGCCCCCCCCGUGCACUGUGGGGGCCCAUGAGCACUCUGCAGGUGUCCAUUUGCUUCCUGCAAUCGAUCCAGGGCGACAGAGCGGCCUCGCAGUGGUGUCUUCUAGUUCCUAUGGGCUGCAUCCUAUGAUCCCGCAGACUCCGCCACUCUGGAUUUGAUCCAAUAUUCCCCGACCUACUUUGUUUUCCCAAACGCGCUCCCAGAGGAGCUUCUUGUUGGCUUUGCUGUAUCUGCUGACCGACGCAGUUCUGUUGGAGUUUUGCUUUCUCAGCUCCGUCCCUGGGGGCUUGGAUGAUGUCUGUGUAUUCCCAGUGUUGUCCCAGCGUAAUUUGUGCCCGUCUGGGUGAAAAGUGGGGUGAAGUGCUCCGAGGAGGGGCAAAGCGGGGGGGAGGUGAUGGAGGACUUUGCAGAGAGGGGACGCUGACCCCAAGGAACAGGAAAACACGACCUCUGCUGCAGUUCUGAGUAUCCAGAAAUGAAAGCGACGGCUCUGCAGGCACAGCCUCUCCCCACUGCCCACAUUCAAUGGGGCUGGUUCGUACUGGGGAGUCCCAUAAAACACCCUGGGGGAAGGGGGACACCCCCAUAAACUACGCUAUAGGUUGUUCCAUAGCAAAAAAAAAAACAACACACCCUUCAACCACCCCCCAAAAUCGCACGCAUCGAGGCAGGUUGAUCGCUUUAUUCUGCUCAUGUUUUGCAGGGGGUGGGGGAGUGGAAAUGGUCUGUUAUGCGACAGUGCCCCCCGGCCCUACAGCCCCCACCUGGCGCCGUGCCUCAUCCAUCAUCUCGGCGAUCAGCUCACUCUCAGCCAACGUCAUCACGGGGCUCUCAGUCAGCCCCUUCAGCAAGCACUCCCGCACGUGCUGGGCCUCGUAGCGCAGCCCUGUGCUGUUGGGGUAGUUCAGGGGUUCCACGGGGGGGGGCAAGGGGAAAACCUCUCUCUUGCCCUCCCAGAUCAGCUCAGUGGGGCAGUUCAGGUGGCUGGGGAUCUCCACCCAGCCGCGGGUUCCCCCCAGCGCGGCGCCCCCUGGCAGCUUUGCAUCCAUGGACACGGUCAGUGCUGCCUGCUUCCCCCCCUCAUACUGCAGCGUCAGCGUCACCGUCUC